CAGACCACACGCCGCGGGGCUUGUGGGAGCGCAAAAUGACCGCGCGGGGGUUGCGGCGAGCCGCGAGCAGGCUCCUGGAGCGGCCGGCGGUUCCGGGCCGCGUGAGCCGAGCUUGCAGCGCUUUCCGCACCUUCGCGGAAGUUCUCAGGCUGCCCCAGAGACAAAUGACGAAGCUCGCGUUCCCCUUACGGGAGCUGGAGCGGCAGCUCACACCGGACUCGAGGGUGGGCCUCCACGUGAAGACCUUUGACCCGAGCCUGGAGGCCAUCUCCCGGGCGGAGAGCGUCUUCACCGCCGGCGGCCGGCACCGCAUCGAGUACGUCAGCUCCGCCGUGCGUCUCGACCACGCCCCGGACCUCCCUCACCCUGAGGUAUGUUUUAUAGGCAGAAGCAAUGUUGGAAAAUCCUCUCUAAUAAAAGCCUUAUUUUCACUGGCCCCAGACGUCGAAGUCAGAGUCUCCAAAAAGCCGGGACACACAAAGAAAAUGAAUUUUUUCAAAGUUGGAAAAUAUUUUACAUUGGUGGACAUGCCAGGUUAUGGCUAUAGAGCUCCUGAAGAUUUUGUUGACAUGGUAGAAACCUAUCUAAAAGAACGAAGGAAUUUGAUGAGAACAUUUUUGUUAGUGGAUAGUGUUGUUGGAAUUCAAAAAACUGACAAUAUUGCCAUAGGAAUGUGUGAAGAAUUUGCAUUACCUUAUGUGAUGGUAUUAACAAAAAUUGACAAAUCUUCCAAGGGACAUCUUUUAAAACAAGUGCUUCAGAUCCAAAAAUUUGUUGAGAGUGAAACACAAGGAUGUUUUCCUCAGUUGUUUCCUGUAAGGAAGACGUUUAUCAAUGCCAGAUGGCGGCUUGGAAUGGGACUUGCAGGAUGGGAAGUCCUUUACCAGGCAUCAGAUGGGCUGGGCAUUCUAAACAUACAGGACCAGGAGAUAGGAUGAAGCCCUAAAGGAUGGCAGAGCCAUUGGUGGAAUCAUUGCCUGGAGGAAAGUCACUGUAUACCAGGAACAACUGCUUGGACUAUUAGCACGUGGUUCGACCAGCGGGGGCCAUUUUAUGGCAAGGACAUCCAUCCAGAGCAAGCAGAGUUUUGGUGUGGCACAAGGACUCGUGGGGGCCAGCAGAGAACCUCAAGGAACUAGACAACUCGCUCUUCCAACAGAUUUGGAACAUUGGCCCCAAAGACAAAAGAAGGUUCUUCUGAUGGGAAAGACUUGCAUUUCUAGUGAUACUGAUUUAUCCUCUUAAACCAGUCUUUAAUCAGAAAAAAAGAAAAAAAAGUAUGGUGUUUUUAAAUAGUCUAAACAUUCGCCUGUCUUGGACAUCUUAAUAUCAGGCAAUCAAAGGUCAUUUUAAUGUAAUUAUUAAAGUUUAUUUCCUCAUCUGAACAAAAACAUGAAUUUGUUAUUAGACCCAGACCAACAUUGAUUUAAACUGUCUCAUUUCCAUCCUAGAUAUCAUUUAUUU